rnacentral:rRNA from 1 species
UACGUAGGGUGCGAGCGUUAAUCGGAAUCACUGGGCGUAAAGCGCACGUAGGCGGAUUUUUAAGUCAGGGGUGAAAUCCCGGGGCUCAACCUCGGAACUGCCUUUGAUACUGGAGAUCUUGAGUCCGGAAGAGGUAAGUGGAACUGCGAGUGUAGAGGUGAAAUUCGUAGAUAUUCGCAAGAACACCAGUGGCGAAGGCGGCUUACUGGUCCGGAACUGACGCUGAGGUGCGAAAGCGUGGGGAGCAAACAGG